UCUCUCUCUCUCUUCCUCGCCCGCACGCCCAAUUCUCUGUUCUCUCUCCCUUCCAUUUCUCCCUGCCAUGGCUAGAGACCACCAUUUCUGGCCACCAAUUCAUGAUACCACCACUACCAAUCUAACCAGCACCUCAAUAUGAUCAAAACCCAAUCCCAGCACCGCCAUGCACCGACUCCUGCCUCCGCACCCGAUCCUCCAAGCCGCGAUGCUGUUGCUCCCUUACCUUCAUCCAUUUCUCGCAGCCAUCUCGCAACACCUCCACCACCGCUUUGAUUCAGACUGCCUUACCUUCAUCCAUUUCUCGCAGCCAUCUCGCAACACCUCCACCACCGCUUUGAUUCAGCGACGCAGGGCAUUGCAUAUAUAUAGGAGUGGUCUACUUGGUGAUGAUCACAGCAUCGCCCAAUCUAGAGGUUCACGAGCUGGAUGAGCUCCCGAAGCAGUGGCGGAGGUUCAAGCUGGCUUGGCUUUGUAAGGAGCUGCAGUCGCAUAAUUCCGGGGCUUUGAUUCGGAUUCUCAAUGCCUAGAAGAAGUGGAUGAGGCAAGAGGACGCCAAGAACUCUGGUAUUGUUAACUAUAGGUCUCAUUGUGAAAUUAUAAUCAUUUUCCUUCCAUCAGUUUAAGGAUUAUGAUACCAAGAACUCUGGUAUUUUGAAAGAAAUCUGCAGAAACUGUCCUGCAGUACAGCCUUCUUUGGUACUUCUUUUUCCUGACUUAUUGACCUCCAAAUGACCUGAAUUUUUGAUAUGUUUCACUUCUGUUAGUUAGCAAAGGAUCUGAAAAGUUUCAUCGUAUUUCGACGUAAAGUGAAUGUUCUGUGAAUUUUCCAAGUUUGGUCUGUAAUUGAGAAAGUUCCAGAAUUUUAAAUGUUCCUCUGAUUUUCUGUUGAGAUUUGAACUUCUACUUGAAUCAUUUAAGUUCUGGUUUUUCUGUAUAUUGAACUAGAAAUCCCAAUGCUUGUUUGAAAACUAAUUCCUUGUCAUUUGGAUUUGCAAUGAAUUUUUGGUGAAUUUUCGAAGUUGACCAUGCUGCUGAGAAAGUACGUGUGGAGAUAUUCAUAGACUGUUAACACAGUAAUUUGACUUGGAUUUGACAAUCUUAUUUCAAAUGUCAUUUACAAUUUUAGGAAAAUCUACUCAAGUUUUGCAUAUUAUCACAUUUCUUAAAAGGAUAAACAGAUAAGAUGGAAGGCUAGCUGUUUCAGGAUUUCCAAAACUAGUAUAACUAGAACUAAAGUGUGCCACAUUUUUGAAUGAGUGAGCAUCAACUUUUGGAUUGUUCCGAUCAAUCUUCAUCCUUUAUUUUCUGUGAAUUUAAGUAAUCGCAAGAUUUGAUUCACUUACUUCUCUGUUUCAUAUCCUAUUGAACUUCUUGUUCACUCUGGCUUGAAGAAGGUUCUUCAACAAUGGCUUGCUUGAGGCUAGGAUAGACUCCACAGAGGAGACAUCACGCCUUCCUUGGUCUGGUUUGAAGUCAACUAUGGCCUUCUUCUGCUCUUCAGGAAGAUAGCUGCAGGUUUCCAAAGGCUUUCAUGGCAACCAAAAGUACCUCCUCCUCAGUUUUUCCUUCUUCCUCUUCUUCAUAUCCACCUUGGACCUAUGAUGUCUUCCUCAGCUUCAGAGGUGAGGACACCAGUAAAAGCUUUACAGAUCAUCUAUAUUUUUCUUUGAAACGAGAAGGAAUAUCCACCUUUAGGGAUGAUGAACUUGAGAGAGGGAAACCAAUUUCAUCAGAACUCAGGCAAGCAAUACAAGAAUCAAGGUUUGCGCUUGUUAUUUUCUCAAGAAACUAUGCUUCUUCUAAGUGGUGCUUGGAUGAACUCGCAGAGAUUGUUGAGUGCAUGAAAGAGAUGGGACAGACGGUGCUUCCCAUUUUCUAUAAUGUAGAUCCAUCAAAUGUACGGAAACAAACGGGAAGCUUUGCAGAAGCCUUUGAUGCACAUGAAGAACACUUCAAGGAUAACUUAGAAAAAGUGCAAAGGUGGAGAGCUGCUUUGACUGAAGUGGCCAAUCUUUCCGGAUUUCAUCUCCAAGAUGGGUACGUAACAUUAACCUUGUGAGAAAGCCUAGCAAUUUUUUUUUUUGUUUCAUGAAUUGACUUUUACAGAAGUAUGCAUGUAGUUUAGACAUAUAUCUUGUCUUCCUGAUUAGAAAUUGAAUUUGGAACUUUGACUGCUUAAAUUCUGGAAUCAACCUAGUAGGAUAAUGAUCCAAAAAAAGGUUUCAUCUACCUAUGCAUAUAAAACUAAACUUACUCAACUGCAAACACAUAGAUAGAUAUGUACAAGAGGAUUGCUGAUACAGAAAGGGAUACUGCAAAUAGAUAUGUACAAGGGGAUUGCUGAUACAGAAAGGGAUACUGCAAACACAACCCCAGGGAAAUGGUGAAGGUAUGGGCUGAGAAAGAAAAGAGGAAUCUGGACAGGAUGGUGAAAAAUGGAAUUACAUGCCCAACUGCAAUUGAUAUAAAAGAUCAUGUUCUGGUCAUGAAAUUCAUAGUUAAUUUUGGAACUUGGUCCGUACAUUGAGGAGCUCACAAAAACAGGAGGUGCCAUAAAGGAGUCUGUUAACCCAAAACACAAAGACACUAGUAAGACUUCAUUCAAGCCCUCAACUCGGUUAGUGUAUGAUGCAAGACUACCCAAAAACAUGGGAAGAUCAGAAAUGCUCAAGCUUCAAUCAAAUUUUGUACUAGUGCUUUCACCUUUUGUUAGACUAGUCUGUAGCACUUAAAUGCAUAUAUGAAACUAUCUAAACAAUGGAUGUAUUAAUUCCUCCGUUGGGAUGAAAUAGUUUUUGAAAUUAAUGGAUGUGCUUCUGGAGUCAA